UCAGGCCUGCCCUCGGGGCACCUGCGGACAGCCGGCCAGGUUUAAGAACAAGAGGGCUGUGUAAUUACAUUUCAAUGGGGUGCAGCGGUUCAUUAUUCGCCACCAAGCUGAUCUGCUGCCGCGUCUCCAAGGCAGUCAAGUAACAGAGAACACCUUCUCAGUGGCCUCAAGGACAAGCACCCGCCCUUCUGGCC